ACGUAGGUGGCAAGCGUUACUCGGAAUCACUAGGCGUAAAGCGCAGGUAGGCGGUUCGGUAAGUCUUUUGUGAAAGCUCCCGGCUCAACUGGGAGAGGUCAAGGGAAACUACCGGACUCGAAUGUGGCAGAGGAAGCUGGAAUUCCCGGUGUAGCGGUGAAAUGCGUAGAUAUCGGGAGGAAUACCGGUGGCGAAGGCGGAUCUCUGGGCCUUACCUGACGCUCAGGUGCGAAAGCUAGGGGAGCGAACAGGA
rnacentral:rRNA from 1 species